rnacentral:rRNA from 1 species
ACGUAGGGUGCGAGCGUUAAUCGGAAUUACUGGGCGUAAAGCGUGCGCAGGCGGUUUUGUAAGCCAGAUGUGAAAUCCCCGGGCUCAACCUGGGAAUGGCAUUUGGGACUGCAAGGCUCGAGUGCGGCAGAGGAGACUGGAAUUCCUGGUGUAGCAGUGAAAUGCGUAGAUAUCAGGAGGAAUACCGAUGGCGAAGGCAGGUCUCUGGGCUGCACCUGACGCUGAGCCGCGAAAGCCAGGGGAGCGAACGGGA